rnacentral:tRNA from 1 species
UCCCUGGUGGCUCAGAUGGUAAAGAAUCCGCCUGCAAUGCAGGAGACCCAGGUUCAAUCCCUGGGUUGGGAA